GGGCGGUUAGCUCAGCGGUAGAGCACUACAUUGACAUUGUAGGGGUCACAAGUUCGAUCCUUGUACCGCCCACCA
rnacentral:tRNA from 4 species